UUAGGUUAGUUAUAGCUAAGUUUACAUGGCUAGUUAAUAUGCUUUUAUAAAUUGCAAUUUUUAUUAAUUUCCAAAUUAAACAUGUGGCAUCCAAUAUCAUAAGCUAAGAUUAUACUGGUGUGUUUAUAUUAUUUUAGAAUUUUUUGUUUUAGACAUAUGGCAUUUGUUAUCCCACUAAUUUGCUGCUUUAGAGGCAUGGCAUUUAGUGUCACAUUAAUUUACUGUUUUAGACAUGUGGCAUGUGGUAUCCCACUACACGUGGCAUGUGGUAUCCCACUAAUUAGCUAUUUUAAACAUGUGACAAGUGGUAUGACACUGUAUUGAUGUAUGUGAAAUGUGUAGAGUCUUUCAGUUAUCAGAUAAUGACAAGGAGUUUACAGCAUGGUGUCCGAUUUAAAGUGCGAACCUGUGUACGAGUAACAACAGUAUUCAAAACCAAAACCUAUUUAAACCAACCAAACCAAAACUAGC